CCCAGCGCUAUGCGCUGGGCUGACAUAUUGCGCUCCUUCAGAGCU
rfam:Prevotella marshii DSM 16973 genomic scaffold SCAFFOLD1, whole genome shotgun sequence.